CUACGGGUCGCACCAGUGGGGAAUAUUGGACAAUGGGCGGAAGCCUGAUCCAGCAAUACCGCGUGUGAAGAAGGCCCGAGGGUUGUAAAGCACUUUCAAUGGGGAGGAAAAAGCGAAGGUUAAUACCCUUUGAAUUGACAUUACCCAUACAAGAAGCACCGGCUAACUCCGUGCCAGCAGCCGCGGUAAUACGGAGGGUGCGAGCGUUAAUCGGAAUUACUGGGCGUAAAGCGUGCGUAGGCGGCCUGCCAAGCCAGAUGUGAAAGCCCCGGGCUCAACCUGGGAACGGCAUUUGGAACUGGUGAGCUAGAGUUAGGUAGAGGGGAGUGGAAUUUCAGGUGUAGCGGUGAAAUGCGUAGAUAUCUGAAGGAACACCAGUGGCGAAGGCGGCUCCCUGGACCCAAACUGACGCUGAGGUACGAAAGCGUGGGUAGCAAACAGGAUUAGAUACCCGGGUAGUC
rnacentral:rRNA from 1 species